rnacentral:rRNA from 1 species
UAUCUCUGUAGAGUCUGCAUAUCAAUAAGCGGAGGAAAAGAAACUAACAAGGAUUCCCUUAGUAACGGCGAGUGAAGCGGGAAGAGCUCAAAUUUGAAAUCUUCAAGGUUCUACCUUGACGAAUUGUAGUUUAAAGAAGUGUUUUCUGUUAGAUGAGUAGCAAAAGUUCCUUGGAAUGGGACAUCAUAGAGGGUGAGAAUCCCGUAUUUGGUUAUUCAUUCUAGCUUUGUGAUACACUUUCAAAGAGUCGGAUUGUUUGGGAAUGCAGUCCAAAAUGGGUGGUAAAUUUCAUCUAAAGCUAAAUAUUGGCGAGAGACCGAUAGCGAACAAGUACCGUGAGGGAAAGAUGAAAAGAACUUUGAAAAGAGAGUUAAACAGUACGUGAAAUUGUCAAAAGGGAAGCGUUUGACACCAGUGUUGUUUUUCCGAAAAUCAAUUACGAAUGGCUUGAUUUUGUGUUGUAUUGACCUUAUCAGCUUUCUUCACUUUUUUCGAGUCUUUCUUAAUGCACUUUUCGGUUAACAAGUCAACAUCAAUUUCUUUUGUUGUAAAAGAGUAUUCGGAAGGUGGCUUUCUUUUCGGAGAAAGUGUUUAUAGCCCUAUACUUCUACAAUCGGAGAGAUUGAGGUCUGCAGCGUAGAUCCUUCGGGGUUAGAUACACUUGUGCUAAGUUGUAGCUUUUCAUAGACAACUUGUUGACUAUGUUUAGUCAUGCGGCUUACUCGCUUGUGCUAUUUUACCUACGCUUAGGAUGUUGAAGAUGUAGCACAUCAU